GCCCUCCGCUCCCAUCUACCACCCCCUCUCUAAACAUUCAUUUGGCCUUGUCAGUCUUUUCUGGAGGAAGAAAAAAAAAGAAUGUGCGGAUUGGUUUUAUUGUUGUUGUUCUUUUUGCAGCUCUCUGAUUACUAAAGAGGAGCGUCAUAUUUUUUGAAGCUACGGAACUUUUCGGCUUCUUUUAAUAAUAGGCUCUUCCUGUCUCACGCUCCUAACUGCCAGUACCACUCACCCCCCACCUAGCUUUCCUUAGCCCCUCCUCCUUCAUCUGAAACGCACUCCUUUGUUGUGGAGCCAGGCUACAGACACCAAGAUAAGAGGAAGUAAGACAAUAUUCCAUUCUUGGCCAUUGGAAUCUAGAAGUCUCCAGUAAACAGUGCUCUGCUGCUGUUACCUCUGUUCCUUUUCCUGUCUACAAAGCUGCUUUGCAUCCCUGAAUCCACUAAGAUGAUCUUUUAUUGGCAAUAACCUCUCAGUUUCUUUGCUUUGUUAGCAUUCCAAGUGCAAUCUUUUCCUUGCUUCAAAAACAUACAUUUGAAUCAUUUGCAAGCCACAAGUAAUGGUCUUGUAACACAUCGACAUUUGUAUGUUGGAAACUUGGUCCCCAGGGUGGUAACAUGGGAAGUGACGGAACCUUUAAAAGGUGCAGACCAGUAGGAAGCCAUUAGGUCACUGAAUGGUAUUGCCUUUGACAGGAACUGAAGCAAUUCUCAAGGAACUCUGGUUAUUUCUCACAAAAGGCUUGUUAUGAAAGGCCAAGGAUGAGUCACCCAAACACACAGCUUUGAUUGCUCUCCAGCUUCUUGUCUUUCUCAAAAACAUACCUGUCAUGUUGUCAUCCAUCAGGCUAAGACAUAGUAAGUCUUCACCAUAGAAGUCAAAGCCCUUGAGUCUCAGAAACUAAAUGCUAAAUAAACUGCUUUUUUGGGGGGUAAAAUAUUCAGCCUUGCAUAUUUCAUUAUAAUAACAGAACUUGAACUAAUACGGUCUCUGUGGCAAGCUUUGAGCUGAUUGACAGAUCUUCAGUAAGGUCCACUCCCUGUACUGAGCUUAUCUCCCAUAUUAGUUACUUUUUUCCUUCCUGAGACAAAACAUACGGCAAACAAACUUAAGGAAGGAAGGAUGGUUUUGACCCAUAGCCUAAGAGUGCAGUCCAUCAUGGGAGGGACAGUAAAGCUACAAGUCCUCAAAACAGCUAGUCAAAUUGCAUCUGUAGUUAGCAA